UACGAAGGUGGCAAGCGUUGUUCGGAUUUACUGGGCGUACAGGGAGCGUAGGCGGUUGGGUAAGCCCUCCGUGAAAUCUCCGGGCCUAACCCGGAAAGUGCGGAGGGGACUGCUCGGCUAGAGGAUGGGAGAGGAGCGCGGAAUUCCCGGUGUAGCGGUGAAAUGCGUAGAGAUCGGGAGGAAGGCCGGUGGCGAAGGCGGCGCUCGGGAACAUUUCUGACGAUGAGGCUCGAAAGCGUGGGGAGCAAACAGG
rnacentral:rRNA from 1 species